AACGCUAGCUACAGGCUUAACACAUGCAAGUCGAGGGGAAACGACAUCGAAAGCUUGCUUUUGAUGGGCGUCGACCGGCGCACGGGUGAGUAACGCGUAUCCAACCUGCCCACCACUUGGGAAUAACCUUGCGAAAGUAAGACUAAUACCCAAUGAUAUCUCUAGAAGACAUCUGAAAGAGAUUAAAGAUUUAUCGGUGUACGAUGGGGAUGCGUUCCAUUAGGUAGUAGGCGGGGUAACGGCCCACCUAGCCUACGAUGGAUAGGGGUUCUGAGAGGAAGGUCCCCCACAUUGGAACUGAGACACGGUCCAAACUCCUACGGGAGGCAGCAGUGAGGAAUAUUGGUCAAUGGACGAGAGUCUGAACCAGCCAAGUAGCGUGAAGGAUGAAGGUCCUACGGAUUGUAAACUUCUUUUAUAAGGGAAUAAAACCUCCCACGUGUGGGAGCUUGUAUGUACCUUAUGAAUAAGCAUCGGCUAACUCCGUGCCAGCAGCCGCGGUAAUACGGAGGAUGCGAGCGUUAUCCGGAUUUAUUGGGUUUAAAGGGAGCGCAGACGGGUCGUUAAGUCAGCUGUGAAAGUUUGGGGCUCAACCUUAAAAUUGCAGUUGAUACUGGCGUCCUUGAGUGCGGUUGAGGUGUGCGGAAUUCGUGGUGUAGCGGUGAAAUGCUUAGAUAUCACGAAGAACUCCGAUUG
rnacentral:rRNA from 1 species